UUGUUUUUCUUCAAAGCGCAGAGCUUGACUGAAAAAGAAUUGGUGGCAUAAAUUGAUAUUAAUCUUAAAAUACUGGGAAAGGGGGUAGGAAAUAACUAGAGCAAGCCAGGGGGAAAAUAUAUAUAUAUCUUAGUACAGGAAUUGCAAGCUCCAGCCUUCCACUGGCCCCUACCACCAGCAGUCACCUGCACCAGUAAUUGCUGUACACGACAGAAACUCAAGGAUGGUGUUCAUGGCCCCCAUGUAGAAGAUGAGCCGCAGCUGGGUGACACACAUGGUGAUGAGGCUGAGCAGCAAGAUGGGGCUGAAGACACUCUUCAUGAAGGAGGGAGAAGCUGCAGAAGGAAAAACGGAGUCUGAAGAAGGCAGCAUGGCCUUAUAGACAGCUAAACAGCGCCAGUAAUGAAUCACAAUCCCACAGACUCACCUUGAUUCCUGGGAAGGUCACAGCAGAGGAAGCAUAGGAGCCAAUCAUCAGAGCAAUGAACGUGGAACGAAGGUCACCAAACAUGUUGGGCAGCUGGGGACAGAAAAGUCGGUUGGAACAGGUUGCUGCCCAGGUCACAGAGUCCCCAAAUCCACUCAGGCAUCAUUACAACGUCAGCCCUGGGGGUCUCCAAGGACACUGCAGGUGCCUUCUAGCACUGAAAGCUUAACAGCAUUUUAUCUGUUUUCAAGACAACAAAAUGAUUUGGAGAAUAUUGGAUCAAGUCUGAGCAAGAAAAUGCUCUCAUCUCAUUCUCAUUUCAGUGCUGGAAAACAAAUCCAUCUUUUCCAGGAGCAGCAUAUAAGGCAAGUGAAUCUGGCUUGUGUCACAGCGGGACCAGCAUGUUUACAGCACAAGUAUUCCUGCGCAGGAACACUCGAGGAUCCAUCUGGCUGUUUAUCAUCCCUCUGCCUCACUGCGGAGCUUUCUAUGCAGCACAGCCUCCAGGUCCUCGGAUAACCCCAGCCGGAGAACAGCAGCAGAAGACACUGAGCCCCAAGUGGGCAUGGCAGAGGCAGAAAACGCUGCACUUCACUGCAGCAAGGAUCCCCACACCCAUCCCCACAUCCCCGCAUCCGGGAGCUCUGCCAACAGGCUGCUUUCAGGAGCUGCAGACAGGAAACUGCUAAGGAUCCAAAGGUCUGUUACCAGGCAUAGAAAUCCCUCCCUGGAAGGGUUGGCCUAAAUACACACCCUUAGAAAAGAGCAUCUGCAGGAUGAAAUAUCUGCAGGUUGCAGGGGCUGGCCAUUGUCACCAGGCACGGUGUUUGUAUAAUCUCCAAUGCCCCCAAACCUAAAAUAAUCUCCAGAAAUUACAACAAACAGCUGCUGCUGUUGGAGAGCUGUGAGCAGGGUGAGAGCUGUACAAACACAGCUGCUUCUUGGCUCGGGUUGCUUUUCCCCAGAGUCUCAGAGAUGACAAAAAAGCCUUUUUCAUAAGCAGAUGAGCAGCUCCCAGGUGGAUCCUCCUGCUCUGGGAGGUACAGGAGACCCAGAAUGAGCCCAAAAGCAAACAGCUACUUCUGGGAAACCCAAAUCUGCUUCUGCUUCAGUGGGGACAAGUCUUAGAAAGGCUUGAGACUUUGGAAAAUCCCAUUUGGCAGCAAGUGGUCGGAUUAAAGAAAAUUGGACGGAGGAGAUUCAUUGGGCUGGAUAAGAUCUUAUCAAGUGUAACUGCUAACACUGAACACUCAGGAGGAAAGGAAACCUGAGAGCUGAAGGGACAGAGUGAAAACAGCCUGGGUCUGGACAGAAAAUCCCUCAGCCUGCAGGUGUUAGCACUGGCAGUGCCUGCCUGGGUCCCGGCUGAAGACCAGCUACUAAAAUAACGUGCAGUAUUUACUAAGCCAGAUUUCCAGCAUAGCAGCAAGCACUGGAAAAACAUGAACCCCAGGGAUGAGAAAGAAAACAUACACCAUCCACAGAGCAAGUAGGAUCUUUGCCUUCUGCCACCAGCAGGAUCUGAUCCUCAAUCUGACCUUAUUCCUACAGGCCAGAACUGACUUCUCCACUGACUUCUGCCCACUCUGGUAUAAGUAUCUCAAUUAUGGAGGACCUACCAUGAAGAAACUCUUACAUCUCCUGUUUAAAGGUCAAUAACACUCCAGGUAUAAUUAACUUCAUGCCCUGCCUGAAAGAUACCGACUUGAUUUUGCCACACCGUAAGCUGUUUUUUCCUGGAGCCCUUUACUACAGGUGUGCAAUCCCAAACUGAUAAAAAUCACUUCCUGGUUUCCUCUUGCAGAUGACUUCUCCUCAUUUGCCCUACAGUGAGUUUAAAGACCUCCAAUUAGUUGUAUAAGUUUUCAUCUUUUCCCUAUAUAAAAGAAUACCACAAUAAAAAACAGCCCCACCAAAGCCAGCUCCCCUCCUAUUGCAAGGACAGAAGGAAAAAAAAGAAAGAUCAAGGGACUGAGAACUGGACUUGGAAAUGGUAUUUCCAUUCAAGCUAAGCUUUGUUUUCCCUAUCAGGGGGUACAUUUGGAAAUAAUACAGACAAUAAAAACAUGUUCUCCA